ACACUCUUUCUCUCCUUCUGCCUGCUUGCCUUGUGGGACUGAGCAACUGCUAGAUCCUUUGACUUCCAUUCACACAGCUGCUGCUGACCAUUGUUGGGAGUUGGACUACAGACUUAUAAUGCUAACUUUAUUGUAAAAUGAGAUUCUCUGGGUGAAGCAUCAGCAACACUAGUCCUGCCUGCCAUUAUGUGGAUGAAAACAGCUAGACUUCUGUCUGUCAGUGAGACAGUAACAAGCACUGGAUAGACAUUGUAAGAAAACGGUGAACAUGGCAACCGCUAAUGCAGAGUGAACAUUACCCAGCAUGAAGUCAGUGAAAAACUGAACAUGACUCUCAUUGUAUGGAUUGAAAUAAGAAAAAGAAUAUGGUAAUUUUACCCAUUACACUUUGUAAAAUCAGAGACAUGAAUUUAUAAGCAGUGCCUUUAAUAAAGACGGUAAUUUAAUUUCAAAUAAAUAUAUUUGCUUUC
ensembl:lincRNA Gm26683 predicted gene, 26683